CUGGGAAACUGCCUGAUGGAGGGGGAUAACUACUGGAAACGGUAGCUAAUACCGCAUAACGUCGCAAGACCAAAGAGGGGGACCUUCGGGCCUCUUGCCAUCGGAUGUGCCCAGAUGGGAUUAGCUAGUAGGUGGGGUAACGGCUCACCUAGGCGACGAUCCCUAGCUGGUCUGAGAGGAUGACCAGCCACACUGGAACUGAGACACGGUCCAGACUCCUACGGGAGGCAGCAGUGGGGAAUAUUGCACAAUGGGCGCAAGCCUGAUGCAGCCAUGCCGCGUGUAUGAAGAAGGCCUUCGGGUUGUAAAGUACUUUCAGCGGGGAGGAAGGGAGUAAAGUUAAUACCUUUGCUCAUUGACGUUACCCGCAGAAGAAGCACCGGCUAACUCCGUGCCAGCAGCCGCGGUAAUACGGAGGGUGCAAGCGUAAU
rnacentral:rRNA from 1 species